AUCAUCACCACAACUCCCCAUUUCAGAAAUGUAUACACAAAAAAAUAGCAAUGCACUGCGUGAUCUAGGGCCAUCUCCUCUCAAAAUCACUGCACCAUGGAGCCGAGACCACCCUCCUGAACAGCUGGGUUUAAAUCCUAGGUCUGACACUACCUGUCCAACACUGGGCCCAUCGGACCCAAAGACCACAAAGUGAAGUUCUAUCAUUCAUUUCUCCCAACAGAUCUGUCCCAACCUGAGCUUUGAGCAACCCUCCAGGUGCCUCUUUCCAUACCUUCCAUGAUGGGAUCCUGCAAGGAUUCCUCUGUUUCAAAUAUGGCAAGUACUCUGAAGUGGAAAGCAGGCUACAGCUCAGAACUAAGAGCCCCUGGGGUCUGGGUGAGACAGCUCCCAGGUCCACAGCUCCCAAAGGAUCUUCUCCUCAAGCAAGACUGGACAAGAGGGCCAACUUUGCAACGGAGCUUUGAAAAGUGGCAGAUACCGACUCUGAGGCAGGUGCCUCUCAAGUUACCAAUGACAAGAAUGCUACACUUGGAGGCCAAGGACCCAGUUUCAAAUUCCAAUCUUGCCAUUAAUUUAUCACCUAUGUUACCAGGGCAAGUCAUUUAAACUCUCCAGGGCUUCACUUUCCUCAUCUGUAAAAGGGGGAUGGAGGAGUCAUACUUAAUCUAAGGACCUUUCCACCUCUCAAUCUAUGGCCUCUUCUAGGGGAUCCCAGGUAGUCCACCAGCUACCCCUGCUCUUUCUAAGUCCUUCUCCCUAGUGCCUAAAUGGAAGAAGAUUUAGGCACAUACUUCAUUCACCCUGCAGGUCACCACAGAAUUUCUUCAUUUAGUCUUUUGUAUUUACAGUACUAUAUGAUCACCCUGCAAACAGCUAGCUACCUGCCUACUGACCCAAGGAAUCAAGGAUUUCAACCAGGCAAGUGGAAUCAUAUAGAAUCUGAGGUGAAAACUAGUAGAAAACAGGGAUGGGGUUGGUGUGUCCUCUGGCAAGGCUAUCCUAGGCACACAUCUGUCUAAUAAGCCCUCAUCUCUGUCUGGAACAAUAAGAUCUCAUUGCCACAUACCCUGGCUCUCUGAGAGCUGAUUUAGUAUUUCUAAAUGGAUGUUCUAAGUCAGCCCUAGGAACACAACCUCUACAUAGCAGGAAGAGCUAGAAAGAAAAUGAACUGCGUGUCUUCAAGUCUAAAACUUCCUUUCUCCAGAGCCCCAGACUCAGCUGCAAAUCACAGGCAAUCAUCAACCCCUACACCUGUGUGGUAGGAGUUGGGAAGGCAAGAGGCCAGAACUUGUACAACAAAAGCUCUCAAAUUUUCUCACCCUUCCCCCGGGGAAAGUCCCUACCCCCGGAACACACGCCUCUAUCCACAGCUGGGAGAACAGCCAGUCAACCCCCAUGCAGCUAGACCUGCAAGGGGCAGAAACUACUACCCAAGCUAGUUUUUCCAAAUGUCUUCUAGUAGAACGGAAGCUCCUUAGGGGCAGGCUUGUCUUUGU